CAGCCAGUUUGCAUGUGCUAGUUGUGCACCCUGUUCUGCCAGUCAAUACACAAUGAGGUUUUUCUGCAUUUCUUUCAGAAUCUUUGCAUUCCGCAAUUAGUUUUCACAGAUCUUAAAAUGUUCUUAUCUAAACUUUGGCUUUCUCUGUUAAACCUGGUAAAAAGUUCAAAAAUUAUUAGGUGUGGAAGAGAGUGAGCAUUUGUCAUAGAAAAGAAGACAAGUAAUACUUGUUCUCUCUGGAAAACAGCUUCUCUUUGAGGGAGGAAGUGAACUACAAAUAGCUUAUUUGGGAUAUCUUGGAUAUCAAUCAGACCUUUUUCACUGUUCAUAGCUGAAUACUGAAUUUUGGAAGUAAAGACAGUGUAAGGUUGAAGUGUAAAGUAUGUAGAUACGACUGAAGAAAAUGAGAUUCAUGAAUGAAUAACUGAUUAGUUUCUGAAAGGAGUAUGUAAGCUUGUGCCUCUGGGCAUGUUAAAUUGAAUUUACCUACACUUCUGCUUUACACAGUUGGAAAUUCACAUUAACACAAAAAUUGGUAUUAUAUAGGCAGUAUUUUCAGAUGACCAAAUUAUUUUUGUAAACCUGAAGCUAUAUUGUAAUGAUACUUGUGAUGAAAUUAGAAAUUUAGAUUUCAUCUAAUACCUUAUAAAUCCUAUCAAAUCUUGAGGCUGUAAAAGUAGACAGUGCAGAGCUAAAGAAAUACAUAUCCAUAUUACUAAAGUUGGUCCUUAUUGGGCCACCGAAGAGUUGUCGCCUCUGCAACCUGGCACUAAACUGGAAAGCAACAUAAACAAAUCUCCUGAGGUAAUUCCGGCCUAAAUUACCUCACUAAUCACCAAAUCAAAUCAGAAUGAAAAAACAAAGUAGCAGUAACAGCUUCAACUUUCUUUUUCUUUUAACAAGUUCUUUCAAGCAAGUUUUUCCAAGACCUCAUAUUCAUAAUAUCUCUAUAUUAUAAAACACAAUUUUCUAUUUACUGUUAGAGUCUCAUUAAUAUUUAAAUUGAGUUGGUUUUAAGAAAGUAAAUGAUACUUACCAUUGUUGUUUUCUUUUUUAGUGUUUUCUGCAUUUUAAUAGAUUCUUUUUAGUGUUUUCUGCAUUUUAAUGGAUUGGUUUUAUUACAAAAGUGAGGUUUUAGAAAAUGAAGAAAAUGAGAAAAGGUGUAGCUCUCCUGGAGUUCAGAGCCUACUGUAGUGCCAGUGUGGAACACUGUGAGGCCCAAGAGGGAAUUCACUGCAGAACAACUUCUGAAUGUAGUAGCGGACACCAAAUUUAGACAUCUAGAGAACAAUUCUCUAGUGCCAAUUAAAGCAGUUCAGAGUAUACCCAUCUCUUACUUCCUGUGCUCUGUGCUGGAGGAUGCUGAGAGGAAGUGAGAAAACACAGUUCUCCCGGUAUGCUAGUGAUAGUGCUUCAUUCUAAUGAGUUGGCACAAGCCAGUACUUGCUAGUCCUGCAGGGAGAAGAAUGGCUUAAUUUUAACAAGCAUAUGGAAAGAUAAAAAGAAAUCUUAGUAUAAAUCACUAAAGUGGUUAAUUAAUUAAGGGACACAAACCCAUAGGAAAUCAAGCACUGUUUCCAGGGAUCAUUAAUAUACUUGGCUGUUGCUGUUGUUUUUUUCCCCUCCCCGUGGUUCUAUGAGAAUUUUAAGAUGAAAUAACGAAGCAAGAUACUAUAAUUCCUACUCUUCUUUACACAUUGGCUACAGCAGCAAUAAUGAGAACUUCGGCAUUAAAUACGGUUCUUGAUAAUUUUGGAGCUAUUGGGCAUGAUCAGAUUGAGAUACACUUUCAGAGAGGGAUAAAAAUCAGGCAAUCUCCUAAGUAUUCUAAUGUUAUUAACUUGAGAAGAAUUCUUCCCAGAUAUUGUUUUUCAUAGUGUGUAGCCUUUCUUUCAGGUUCAAAAUUAAAACAGACCAGAUACUACACAUUUUAGGAAUUGUGUUUAGAAACAAAAUGGAAGUAAACCAUUCUUUUUCAGAAGGAAGUAUUUCUGAAGUAUUUUCAUAAAAAGUGAAAAUUUCAUUUUGUUAAUAUAGUAAACAUGGUAAGUUUAAAACUUACAGGUGGUUUUUUAGUUCAACUUUAUUUUCUUGAGAUGUCACUAAGCUUACUUUCAUUUUUCUAUGUGACUGCAACUGGCUUUCUAGAAGCCAGAUCAAAAUAAGUUGUUCCUUUUUCUUAAAAAGAAUAUUUGUUAAAAAAAAAUCCACAGAUAUUUAAAAAAAAAAAGAACAAACCUAUUAAAAUCUUUCAGCAGUGAAAGUCAUGACCUCCUUGUGCUGUUAUUUUCUGUCCAGUUACUGAAAUGUAGAAUCCAGAUGUAUGCCUGCUCUGCCUUUACAACUGAAAACAAGGGUGACUUAGAGAAUUACUUCAACACACCCCUUGUCAGUGCUACAGACCAUUAACAAUACUAUAAAUAGCAUGAUCAAAUCCCAAAUUGCAGAUUCAGUCAUAAAAAUGUCUACAUUUCAUGCUGAUUCAGAGGGGCAGCAACAUUAACUGCAAUCAUCAAGGAAUGUGACAUCUCCACAGGAUUUUCUACAGCUCACCGGUCUGGUGACAGGACAAUUGUUAAAAAUUAAUGGGGAUCAUCAAAUGUGGAUAAGUACAGCUUGGCAACUAUGAAAGCCAUACUUCUCAUUUGCAAGUGAUAACGUAGUAUUAUUCCAUGAUGAUAGAUUGUAAUAGAUUAUUUAGAUUAUGUUUCAUUCAGGAAACAGUAAAUCUUCUUACUCUUUGAAAUUCUGACCGAGAUAUUUAGUUUUUAAAUUUAUAAGUCAGAGAUAGGAGAAAAUUUUACAUUUUUUUCUAAUUUUUCUCUGUUGAAAGUACACUUCCACCUUUUGCUUAUCCAUUAUAAUCCUUCACUUCUCAAUCAGUUAACAUUUUAAGAAAGUCGAGAUCCUAAAAUCCAAAGUUUAUGAAGAGAUUCAUUCUGAUAGUUAAUAAGCAAAAUAUCAAUAUAUUGUAAACAGUAAUUCCUACCUCCAUGUCUGGAUUUAUAAGGAAUGAUGUGAGUUUUAUUGAUAUAUUCUUACGAUUUUACAAGCCUGUAUUUUUAAAGUGCAACAAAAUAUUUCAACCAAAAUCACCAGCCUGAUGAAGGAUCUACUGAAUUACAUAAUCCAGGCUGUUUUAUGCAUUGGGACAGAGUAAACUAUCACACUGUUUAGAAGAUUGCUUAAGAACUGCAUAGAAGCUGAUCCAAAAAGGAUGAUCAGAUAACUGGAAGGAUGGUCCUGUUUAUCAUUAUGGACAAUGACCAUUUGUUCUGAAGUUAUAGAUUCUAGGCACCUGAUGUUGUUGUCCAAGAACAAGACUAGACAAGUGACACUUCUUUGUCCAUGCUCACUACUCCGAAUGUCUGAGGAGUUCCUAAUGUUAAUGCAGUGACUUGAAGACUGUCAGGAGAAAAAAACCAUGUGUGAUAUCUGUGUCUUUUAGGGAGGAAAAAAAAAUCAAACAAAUUUAGCCAAUUUGUAAUACUUUGAAUAUAUGCAGUGCACAUGAGCAAUAGAUAGAGUCUCCAAUGAUUCUGACAGCAAGUAAACAAAUGGUCAUAGAGAGGAAUAAGAAGAAUCUUAAGCAUGAGAGACAAUGUUUGAAUGAAUGUAAAAGAUGGAGCAUGUUUCCUCCUGUUGUCAGGCAUGGAUCUGCAUUUCCCAAACUUUUACAUUUCCUGCAAAUACCAGUGGACCAGACUGCCAGCAAAUACCUGUGGAACCUCAAAGUCUUGCACCAAAUGCUGUCAUCAACACCCUUGCCACUGCAGAGAUGAAGUCCAGAUUCCAUCAAUUGCAGAAAUCAUAACUGACUCAAGCGUACAGCAAAUAAUGAAUAUAAUUAUUGUUUGUUUAUUA